GAUGAACGCUGGCGGCGUGCCUAAUACAUGCAAGUCGAGCGAACAGACGAGGAGCUUGCUCCUCUGACGUUAGCGGCGGACGGGUGAGUAACACGUGGAUAACCUACCUAUAAGACUGGGAUAACUUCGGGAAACCGGAGCUAAUACCGGAUAAUAUAUUGAACCGCAUGGUUCAAUAGUGAAAGACGGUUUUGCUGUCACUUAUAGAUGGAUCCGCGCCGCAUUAGCUAGUUGGUAAGGUAACGGCUUACCAAGGCAACGAUGCGUAGCCGACCUGAGAGGGUGUCCGGCCACCUGGGAACUGGGACACGUUCCAGACUCCUACGGGAGGCAGAAGGAGGAAAUCUUCAGCAAUGGGCGAAAGCCUGACGGAGCAACGCGGCGGGGGUAAUGAAGGUCUUCGGAUCGUAAAACUCUGUUAUUAGGGAAGAACAAAUGUGUAAGUAACUAUGCACGUCUGGACGGUACCUAAUCAGAAGGCCACGGCUAACUACUU
rnacentral:rRNA from 1 species